GAUGAACGCUGGCGGCGUGCCUAAUACAUGCAAGUCGAGCGAACGGACGAGAAGCUUGCUUUUCUGAUGUUAGCGGUGGACGGGUGAGUAACACGUGGAUAACCUACCUAUAAGACUGGGAUAACUUCGGGAAACCGGAGCUAAUACCGGAUAAUAUUUUGAACCGCAUGGUUCAAAAGUGAAAGACGGUCUUGCUGUCACUUAUAGAUGGAUCCGCGCUGCAUUAGCUAGUUGGUAAGGUAACGGCUUACCAAGGCAACGAUGCAUAGCCGACCUGAGAGGGUGAUCGGCCACACUGGAACUGAGACACGGUCCAGACUCCUACGGGAGGCAGCAGUAGGGAAUCUUCCGCAAUGGGCGAAAGCCUGACGGAGCAACGCCGCGUGAGUGAUGAAGGUCCUCGGAUCGUAAAACUCUGUUAUUAGGGAAGAACAUAUGUGUAAGUAACUGUGCACAUCUUGACGGUACCUAAUCAGAAAGCCACGGCUAACUACGUG
rnacentral:rRNA from 1 species